CCGAGUUAGGGUCGCCUCUGAGCGCCCGACCUCCCAACCCUGUGUCUAUGUUACCUCUUGUUGCUUCGGCGUGACCGUCCCGUCCGCGGGACGCCGGACCUUUACUGGUCUGGAGAGCGUCCGCCGAUGGCCAUAACCAAAACUCUUGACCUAAACCUGUCGUCUGAAUUAAAUUGUUAAUAAAUUA
rnacentral:misc_RNA from 1 species